rnacentral:rRNA from 1 species
UACGGAGGGUGCAAGCGUUAUCCGGAUUCACUGGGUUUAAAGGGUGCGUAGGAGGGCAGGGAAGUCCGUGGUGAAAUCCUAGAGCUCAACUCUAGAACUGCCGUGGAUACUCUCUGUCUUGAAUCCCGUGGAGAUGAGCGGAAUAUGUCAUGUAGCGGUGAAAUGCUUAGAUAUGACAUAGAACACCAAUUGCGAAGGCAGCUCGUUACACGAAGAUUGACUCUGAGGCACGAAAGCGUGGGGAUCAAACAGG